CCUCUCGGGGGUAAGCGGGCAGAACUUGCAAGUAAUGGUGAGAAGAUUCAGACUUGGUAUUGGUGGCUGAGAGUAUUUGUUAAGCUGUUUGUUCGCAAACUGGCUGGUUUGUACUCUUUGAUCUGCUGAUAAUGCGUCGCAUUUCUUCUCAUCUUCGGGUUGCAUGCAACUGAAUUUGGUAAUCUAGGUGCUGGGGUACUGCGAAGCCUUGUUGUUUCGAGUCCUGGUUUCCGAUUACUUGUGCGGUUGUUAUAAAUUAAUCGAACAUGCGUCUAACGCGGUCAAUCAUUCUUACGAGCAGUGUGUGCACUAUUUGUGGACGAGUAAUCGUAGCUUGUGGUGUACACUGGUUGUCGGUGAGGGUGAUUUGGCAUUGUUCAAGUAUUGCAAUCUAAAGCAUGCGUGGUCUGCCUGU
rnacentral:rRNA from 1 species